CAGUCGCCACGGUAAUACGAAGGGGGCUAGCGUUGUUCGGAUUUACUGGGCGUAAAGCGCACGUAGGCGGAUCGAUCAGUCAGGGGUGAAAUCCCAGAGCUCAACUCUGGAACUGCCUUUGAUACUGUCGAUCUGGAGUAUGGAAGAGGUGAGUGGAAUUCCGAGUGUAGAGGUGAAAUUCGUAGAUAUUCGGAGGAACACCAGUGGCGAAGGCGGCUCACUGGUCCAUUACUGACGCUGAGGUGCGAAAGCGUGGGGAGCAAACAGGAUUAGAUACCCCCGUAGUCCCUGUCUCUUAUAU
rnacentral:rRNA from 1 species